GACGCGACAGACAGACAGACGGAUCGACGGCUGGACUGAAAGGGCAAGAGUUGGAGCUGAAUCACAGGAAGACAGUGCACUUCUAAUCUUAUCGCGAUCACUUUGGGAGACCUGCACAAAAAAGAAAAAAAAAACAACUCAAGGACAUCUUCCAGAAAGAUUCAAGGGAGUAAAUGUCAUUCGCGUUAUCUGAGACGAUCGUGGCACGAAUGAGAUCUGAUAUAACGCAUCGCAUGUGCAGCAGGCUAUUAAAAUAUAAAUCUUUGAAGCCCCACAACGCAACAAGUUUGCAUCAAGUCAUUCCACAUCAGCAGACUCGUGAAACAUCAAGCCCAUUUUACAUUAUCACGAGCCCGAGGGGAACGCAGCCUGAGUUUUUGCUGAUUGUGUCGCUAUAUUUUGCUCAAAGGAAAAUGAAUGAUGACAGCUGGACAACCGCUGCACAAACCAGCUCCUCACCAUGGAGUGGAAUUAUUUGACAAACCAUGAUCUUAUUGUUCAGAUAAUGGCAACAAUACGCAACGAGAGGCUAUUUGUUGGAGUUGAUGUGGUACAGAUGCUGCUGGGAAACAGACCUACACUGAUGGUGACCUAAAUAAAGGGUCAGAGCACACAGACACUUUCAGAUUGACAGAAGAUGAUGCUGACAGAGACAGACAGACGCCUAAUAGUCUCUUGUUUUGAAGCCUAAAGAAGAUGUGUACCGCUCUGAAGAGGAAGUGUAUAUUUCCACACCGUGGUGUUUGUUUUUGGCUGCAGCAUGAUAUAGCUCAUGAACAAGAAAAUGACAAAAAUCUGCUUCAAACUAUACAUGUGUAGUAUUUUCACAGUAUUAUUACUGAGAUUUAUGAGCUAUUUGUGACUAUUAUUUUUUUUUUUUUAAAAGAGGUUGAUAAGAAAAUUAACCUUAAAAAAAUAACAUUUAGGAAAGUACUGAAACAUAGUUUACUUUAUCUGAGUACAUCUCUGCUACCUAAUACCUUAAUUACAGUGCAGGAGCUAAUUACUCCACCAAGGAACACAGCGGAGUUAUUUGACGAUCAACGUUGGUUUGUCUGUCUGUCUGUCUAUUAGCAGAAUUACUCGAAAACGGACUAACAGAUUUCAAUGAAAUCUUCAGGGAAGGUCAGAAAUGACACAAGGACGAAGUGAUUAGACUUGGCAGUGAUGCGACUUAUAGUCUGGAUCCAUGGAUUUGUUAACGAUUUCUGUAUCAUUGCAAGAUAGCAGCAUGGCAUCGCUGUAACUAUGACAAGUGAAUGCUAUGUCAGCGGCCUGCUGACAAUCACAUGAUUGCAAUCCUACUAUAAAUUCACACUGCAGCUUAUCUGGACUUAUUUGCCGGAAUAAGUAGGGGUGUUUCCGAGUCCCAUCAAUUCCAGCCGCUUGCUACAUAUUUAGGUCACGUGAUUCGGUAUCCAUACAUAACACACGCCUGUGCUCAGCUCAAGGUCAUUUUGUUUGUGGGUAGAUCUAUACUAAAUGGCCCCAUUCUAUGUUGCCGUGAUUUCUGACGUCCUUAAAUGUCUUGUUUUAUCCACAGCACAAAGAUAUUCAGUUUAGGAUCAUAGAAGAGUAAAGAAACCAGAAAACAUUCUGAUUUAAAUGUGAAUUUUUUUAGGAUUUUUACUAGCUAAGCUAUGUGGCAAAAUGCAAAAUGAAAACAAAUAUGUUAAUAAUGGUAUAUAUUAAAUGUUAUUGGUUUAUGUGAUGAUUAUUUU